rnacentral:tRNA from 1 species
GGGGUUGUAGCUCAGUGGUAGAGUACAUGCCUUGCAUGUAUGAGGACCAAUUCCG